UACGGAGGGUGCAAGCGUUAUCCGGAUUCACUGGGUUUAAAGGGUGCGUAGGCGGCUUUAUAAGUCAUUGGUGAAAGCUCGCAGCUUAACUGUGAAACUGCCAUUGAAACUGUUUAGCUUGAAUGUGGUUGAAGUGGGCGGAAUACAACAUGUAGCGGUGAAAUGCUUAGAUAUGUUGUAGAACACCGAUUGCGAAGGCAGCUCACUAAGCCAAUAUUGACGCUGAGGCACGAAAGCGUGGGGAUCAAACAGG
rnacentral:rRNA from 1 species